rnacentral:lncRNA from 1 species
AUGCCUCAGGCAGCCGGCAGGCCAGAGGGGAGUGCUCCAGUGCCGAGUCCUGGAGCUGAGGCGUCAGAGGGGCACACAGAGGACCCAUGGCCACUACUCAGUAAGGGGGUGCUCAAGGGAGGCAGAGGGCAGGAUGCUGUGCCCAGUUCGCCUGGCACAAGGACGCAGUGCUGGGAAGCUGUGGAGGACCUGGGCCUUGGGGCAGAGCCUGGAGGCGGCCAGCUCUCCAGGGCACAGUUGGACCUGGGGCCAUGGCCGCAGGUCGUCUCAAGAAGCACCAAGCACCCCUGCCUGUGCCAGCAACACCUAUGCCUGGACUUGCUGCAGGCCACCGGGAAGGCCACCGAGAGGGGUCCCCCUGCAAUGUCCAUCUGUGUCCAGCAGUGGCGAGGAAGCCCAGGGAGAGCAGGGGAGGGGAACCACACCUCCUCCUGGUCCCCACCCACCCUCACCCUUGCACACGGGGUCUGUUCCCUGAGCCUCUGCCCAGCGGUUCCCAGCCUAGGCAGCUAUGGUUGCCAUGGAAACCCUGCAUCCUGCGGUGGGGGGGGGGUGGAAGGGCCCUCCUCCCACUGGCUCUGCCAGAGCUCAGCCAAGCCACCUUCUCUCCAGCCCCCUGUAGCCUCAGGGCCGGGCUGUUUUCACAGCUUGAUUCUUUCCAGGUGCCCCAGGAAGAGGACAGCGGGUCCUUCCCCUCAUUUCCAAAUCCUCCAGUGGGGUGGGGGGUGGGGGCGGAUGCUGGAGACGCUGGGCACCAGGAUCCUGCAUGCCCUCCUCCACCUGGAGCAUCCACGUGAGGCCCUUGGGAAUCCCCAGUCCCCAAACAUCUGGAAUCCUAUCACCCUGGUCCUUCAAAUCACAAACCUCCCCAGGUGGGAGCACAGACAUUUCCCCAAAGAGCGUCUGAGCAUCUGGCCCAGAACAGCCAAGAAGGGAGGCAGCAGGAAGGAGGAAGAGACAGGUCCUCAGCCUCCCUCCCUGGACACAGGACCCCAGGCUUCCUCUCCCCGCAGGACUGGUCAGAGCUCAGAGCCAGGCUGA